AGCUUUAACUAUACGGACCUUUGUUGGCAAGGUGAUGCUUUUUAAGAUGCUGCCUAGAUUUCUUUAAAAGCAGAGACAUCACCUUGCCAACAAAGGUCCGUAUAGUUAAAGCU